UCUGGUACCUUCGGUGCCCGAGUUGUAAUUUGUAGAGGGCGACUUUGGGGCGGCUCCUUGUCUAUGUUCCUUGGAACAGGACGUCAUAGAGGGUGAGAAUCCCGUGUGGCGAGGAGUGCGGUUCCGUGUAAAGCGCUCUCGAAGAGUCGAGUUGUUUGGGAAUGCAGCUCUAAGUGGGUGGUAAAUUCCAUCUAAAGCUAAAUAUUGGCGAGAGACCGAUAGCGAACAAGUACAGUGAUGGAAAGAUGAAAAGAACUUUGAAAAGAGAGUGAAAAAGUACGUGAAAUUGUUGAAAGGGAAGGGCAUUUGAUCAGACAUGGUGUUUUGUGCCCCUCGCUCCUUGUGGGUGGGGGAAUCUCGCAGCUCACUGGGCCAGCAUCAGUUUUGGCGGUCGGAUAAAACCAGGGGAACGUAGCUUGCUUCGGGAAGUAUUAUAGCCUCUGGGAAUACGGCCAGCCGGGACUGAGGAACGCGAUUCGUCAAGGAUGCUGGCAUAAUGGUUAUAUGCCGCCCGUCUUG
rnacentral:rRNA from 1 species